AGGACACGAACCCAAUAAUGCAGUAUUGUAUUGUUUGCACGAAUGAUACAAGGCCUCGGUUAGGUUAAACAAUACUGUGGUAGUAAGGAGAAGAGAGGAGAGUGCAGUUCACAUGAUGAGCGAGGAAAGCGAGGAUUGGCUGGUGACCGAGGCCACUGUCCCCUGGUAAAACUACACCCAGUCGUGGGCUCUCGCCCCGCCACGCCGAUGCACUGUCACUGCGUGCGGUGCAACGUGCGAUCUGGCUACGCACAGCAGCAGCCGUUCGUGCGUGCGUGCGUGCGUGCGGCGCAGCCGCGGUGGAAAGUCCAUUCCAACACGCGACGUACGCGCGCGAGGCAGGAGCCCCAUCGCCAUCGCCCAUCGGUUAAUUGGGGUUGGCCCUGCCUCUGAGACGUCUUCUUCUUCCAUUCCUCGCCUAUAUAAGCAUGCAGCUGCACCCUCGCCUCCUCACCCAAUCAUCCAUCCAUCCAUCCAUCCAUCCACAUAGCAACGACCUCUCACAAUUCACGAAUCACCACUGCACACUACACUAGCGGCAGCAAGGAUGAAGCUUAUUGGCAGCGGCAGCGGCAGCGGCGGGCAGAGGAGAGGGAUCGCGAGGGCACUCAAGGAGCACAAGGCGAGGCUCUACAUCAUCCGCCGAUGCGUCGUCAUGCUCCUCCGCUGCUGAUGAUCGAGCUGAGGAUGGCGUGCACACGCCUUAAUUUCUUCUCGGUGGAAUAUCUUUCGCAGUUUUUCUCUCACCAAUUCACCAUGGAUCGGUGGGGGCGAAUGUUUGUCCCUUGUUUGGGUAGAUCUGUUUGGAUCUGUCUCUCUUAAAUUUGUACAUACUGAUGAGCUAGUGUAGACCAUAUCAAUAUAGGAUGCAGAUGGAAGUAGUAUUAGUUAGUAUGAGAGGUAAAUUAGUUAGUUGGGGCUGAAGAAUUGGGGGUUGUCCUCUACCCAGGACCAAUUUUGCCUUGUAUGAUGAUCAGAAGUGGGAAUGCAAGAGAAAUCUACAUGAUUUACAAAACAAAAUCUUCCAUGAUGUUAAUUGUCCUUUGAUCUAAUCUUUCUCUCUGAAAAGCUUUUCUUGUAGGAGUACCUUUGACUUGCCGAGUUGGCUUCCUUGUUUUCCCCUCCCUUGAUUUUUCUUAUUCUUUUGAGAUAGAGGAUUUGCCUUUGCUUGCUUUAGUUCCAGAGUACUAUUACGGUCAUCCACAGGGCCCAAUGCUACUGUGCAUAUCCUGUCCAAAUGUACAUGCAAGGAUACCCAUGGUGACAACGACGGCCAAACUCAGAGCCAACCGGCCUCUCUAUAUAGGCCUCGGGCUGUUCUUUACGGUCAAAAUUAACCUUUCCAAAAUUUAGUCUUUUUGACAUGUUUUAGUGUUACCAAAAUUUGGUAACUUUUGAUGUGUUUAUUUUGAUGCAUUUCUACAUUUUGGUAAUGUUUUCAUGAGACGAAUUUUUUAAACUAUAGAAUUUAUUAGUAUUCGUAAGAUCAUAUUUAGUUGUUAUUACCUUGUCAAAUUUUAAUAGAGUUGAAAGUGACAAUAAAAUGAACAGACCCCUCAACUUUCUUAAUUUUCUUGCUUAGACCUACUUUGAACGACAAGAGGUGUUUGCCCUGCCUAGGGAUGGCAAAAGGACUGGACGAGACCGGGUUGGACAUGAAUUGCCCCGCCCUUGUUCCCGCUUUUGACUCCUACUCCCGUCCCCGCAUUGGCAACAGGGUGAAAAACCUAAUCUGCCUCCAACUCCGCUGGGGACCCGGUGGGUGAGUAGGGUCCCACAAAACCUUUGUUGAAGUGGCUCAGCACGGCGAUGAAUGUCGAAGGAUGCGUGCGGCGAGGACGUGUGAGCUCUAGCUAGGCGUCAGCUAGUGAGGAGGCAGCACCGGCUUGGGGUGGCGACGAGGAGGCAGCGUUGGUUGGGGGUGACUUUGGCUUGGGACAACGACGAGGCAGUGUCGGCUGGGGGCGGCGAAGACUAGGAGCGAUGGCGAGGCAGCAAUGCCUGGACAGGGUGGGACGAGAUGGUGACGGCGCCGCUAACGCCGUUGAGAAAAUGAGAGAGAGAGAGUCAGACAUAGAGUGGCGACUGGGAGGUGUGUCACGCCCUGAAGUUUUCCCCCUUUUCCAGCUUUAAAAAAAUUGUUAACUAAAUCGCCUGAAGAAAUUGUUGAAUUAACCUAGAGCUAAAUCCCUAAUUAAUAAAUGCAAAUAAUAAUCAAAAUCGGCAUGUGGAAUUUUUCAUGGCUUCUGCAUGUCAAAAUAUGCUAACAGGGUUUUUAGGGGAUUUUUCAGGGCCUUGAAAAUAAUUUUAAUCAAUUAAAAUUCAUCAAAGUGCAAUAUUUAAUCCCUGGGAAAAUCCUUUCUUCUUUUUUCCUUUUUAUUUUCCCCUUUUUUUUUCCUUUCUUGGGCCGUCGGCCUAUUUCCUCCCACGCCAUUUCCCCCUUGUUGGGCCGGCCCACUUUCCCCCUCCUCAGGGUCACCGACAUGUGGGGCCCACCUGUCGGCCCCUUCUUCCACCUCCCACCGCCGCUCCCCAAGCCGGCAACUACCGCGCCCACGCCGCUGGCCUACCCCGCCCCUCCGCGCCUGCACUCCCGCACGCCCGCGCCUUCUCCGCGCCCACGUCGCCUCCCACGCCCCAGCCUUCCCGCCCACGCGCGCGCGCCCAAGAGGGCGGGAUUCGAUUUGAAUCCUCCCCCCACUCUCUCUCUCUCUCUCUCCAUCCCCCAUGUCGGUGAGAAAUCCGGCCGCCCCCGGCCACGUCCGCCUCCCCCUCCGCCUAUAAAAUGCUCCUUGUGUUCCCCUCUCUCUUUUUCCGCUCUCGCCGCGUCCUCCCGCGCUUCCUACCGCUGCCGUGCCGCUCUCCCGAGCUCCGCCGCGCGCCGCCGCCGUUAGGGCCGCCGCCAAGCCGUGCUGUCAUCGCCUUCGGGUUCGCAUGCUCGAGGGCUAUCUCGUCCACCUCUCCUUUGUCGAAGUCCGCCAUCGGAGGCCGUCAUUCGCCGUGCGCCGGUGAGCCCUUCCAUAGACGCCGCCGUCGGCCAUGGUUCUCGCUCACCGUGGACCACCUUUCUCCCUCUAAUCCCUCCCAUUUUGUUCCCUAGGUGGUCCUGGAGCUCGUUCGCUCGUUGCCGCCGUUCCCCGGUCGCUCGCCGUCGCUGUUCGCCGGCGUCUUCCCCCACGCCGGCCGAAUCCCGCGGUGAGGCCCCCUCCCCCUCUUUUCCCCUUCUUCUCCCUCCUAGCGCCGAGCCGCGCCGCCGCCCUUCACGCCAUGGCCUUCGCCCGACGCUGCCGCCUCCCGCGCCGCCAGUGACCACGCGCGCCGCCGCCGCUAGCCAUGGUCGGCUGGUCGGCUUUGAGGCCGAGCCGAGCCCGGCGGCUGCUCCCCGCGCCGUCCGAUCGGCUCGAGGCCGAUCCGGGCAGUCGUCCUGUGGACCGGCGGUGGACCACCCGCGUGGUCCCGGUCCAUAGUGGACCGGUCCCCUUGAGUCGCUGCGGGUAGGGCCCGCAUGUCGGUGCCCCCCUGUUUGCUGACGUCAUCCGGGGUUAUUUAUUGCGCAAUAAAAUAAUUAAGGGCUUUUCUUUUAUAGUAAAAACACAGAGAAUCUUCUAAAAACUAAUUCAUCCGAGCUCCGUUUAAGACCAUUCAAGUCUCCGUAAAUUCAUAAAAAAUCCCUAGAAUCCAUUAAAAAUGGUUUUGUUUCCUGUUUCAGUAGUCUUAUAGCAUGUUUUGCUUGUGUGCUUUGUUUGUCGCAUAGAUCUCGGCCGUUUCAUCGAUUCGCGUUUCCUCGAAGACGUUGCUGUGGUCUCAUCAGUGCGAGAAAGGCAAGUCAUGCAUUACAAUUGAUCAUAUUGUACCUCAAUUUACAAAUGUCCCACAUUUCUAUUAAAUGUUGCAUUAUUUUAUAAUAUCAUGUGGGAUGUGUCCUAUUACUCAGCUAUAUGUUGUUACCCUUACGCCAUUGAUAACUUGGGUAUUAAAAUGCAUAGAUGUUGGAUUAGGAAAUGCUUAGCCUUGCUUAGUUCAACUAGUACACAAAGGGGGAAUCACAUUAAUGCAUAGACUUUGAUUAUUGGCAUAGCUUUGGAUUAGUGCCACCGCGAUGGUGUUAGUUAAUUAAAAUACACUACAUGGUGAGCUGUGGGUGCAUGGUUUUGCUAGUCGUGCCCAUGGCGAUUAAGGACCGGUUCGCGGGAUGCCCUAGAAGAACUUAUCGUACUUACCACAAGCCAGCGUGGGCAACGGCUGAGCUUGUAGUGUAGCUUUCCUCUAGGCGACGUACCCAGGCAAGGGUGAGCGUGAUGGAGUUGGGUCGGCCGGGGUGUCCGGUUGAUCGGUUUCCAGAUUCACCGUGGUGAAACCUAAGGUGUGGUGCGAUUAGUUAGAAGGGGUUAUGCGAAGGGUCCUGUCACGUCCUCUUUCCAGUAUGUCGUGGUGGCAUGUCGGCGCACGGAAACAUGUCGUGGGGCUGUGUCUUGUGGGUACAGUUGUACACCUCUGAUCAGAGUAAAACUAUUCGAAUAGCCGUGCCCGCGGUUAUGGGCGGUCAACCAGAUUCACCGUGAUUAGUCUCACCCCUAGCUAGUUAUUGGAACUGGUUAGUUCAGGUGGUGGUUUGGGCAUGUCUCAACGUGGUGUAGCGCUGAGCAGUGAUUGGUUAAUAUUGAUUAAUUACCACAACUGUUUUACUGCUUUCAACUACUGCUUUUAAAUGCCUGCUUUAUGUAAAUGAAGCUCUAGCCUAUUUCGGUUAUAUCCUGCAUCAUACCCUCCUCUUCUGGUAUGACCUGCUGAGUACAGUGGGUAGUACUCAGUCUUGCUCUCUCUUCCCCACACCGGAGCUGAAGUUCUUCCCAGUUGGAGCUGCUUCGAAGAAGUUGGUUUCGUCGCUGCCAUCGAAGAUGCCUAUGGAAUGGAGUCGCCUCACUGCAGGAGUCAAGUCUUCAGGCUUAGCUCGCUUUUAUCUUUUCUGCUGCAUUUGUAAUCUUUUAUAUUUUUGUAAAACGUGGAUCUGUAUGUCAACAAUUGUCGUCUGUGUACCCUGGCUGGUCCUGGACAUGGGUUUAAUGCACAUUCAGCUUAGAAAUUCUGGUUCUUGAAUUUUUGGGCGUGACAAGGUGGGAUUUAGAAAAACUAGGAUUUAGUUAAUAUACUGCUCCACCUUAAUGGGUCAAAUGGGCCUUAAAAUAUCUACUUUUGCACUGGUAAUUCAUAACCUCGGGGCACUAUGGGUUAUCCACAGGUAAAAAUUUCUAUUGGCCCUGGCCCUGUCGGAUCGGGUACGCAUUGGGGUCCCGGCUCCAACUAGAAAUUAGCAACCCUCGAUUGCCAUCGUUGUAUUCAUUGGUCGGAAAAAGUACACCGAAGGUCAAUCAACUAGUUAUCGAAUUACAAAAUCGUCCCCCAACCACAAAACCAGAUACAACGCAUCCCCUAACUUACAAAACCAUUGCAAACUAGGUCCCUUGGCGGUUUUGACUCCGGUUUGGACCGACGUGGCAGCUGACUCAGUGUGGGACCCACAUGGGUCCCACAUGCCAGCCUCUACUUCCCCUCCUCUCUCCGCCUCUCUUCCUAUCUCCUCCCCUUUCCAUGUCAGCCUCUCUUUCCCCUCAUCUCUCUUCCUCCUCUCUCUCUCACUCAUCUCCCUGGGCAGGUAGGCCGGCGGUGGGGAGGAGGUCGCCAGGACGAGGAGGUCCGACGGCUCGCGGCGAUGCGGCGGCGGCGACACGGGAGAAGGGGGGGGAGGCGAUGGCGGGAGCACGGGGGAGAUCAAAGAGGACAAGCUCAAGCAUGGCGGCGGGCGGAGUGGGGCGACGGCAAGGCGGAGCGGAGUGGGGCGGUGGCGGACGACGACGAUGGCGGCCCGCGCGCGCAAUUCCUCCCCCGCCGCUCGCCGGCCCGCACGCGAGGAACUCACCAGGAGAUGAUCGGCGGUGAGGCUCGGCCGGAUGCAGCUUGAGCAGUUCCUCCACUGCCAGCGCUGCCUAGUUCCUCCCCCGCCGGCUCCCAACUCCUCCACCGCUGCCUAGUUCUUCUGCGCCGGUGCCGCCCAGCUCCUCCCCCGCCGGCGCCGUCCAGUUCCUCCCCUGCCACCGGCGCCGCCCAGCUCCUCCACGCCAGCCGUCCGCCGCGCCCACAGUACUCGUCGCCCUUGGAAAGGGGAGGAGAGAGGAAGAGAGGUGUAGAGGUGAGGGGAAGUAGAGUCUGACAUGUGGGACCCACAUGGGUCCCAUGCUGAGUCGGCUGCCACGUCGGUCAAAACCGGAGUCAAAACCGUUGAGGGACCUAGUUUGCACUGGUUUUGUAAGUUAGGGGAUGCAUUGUAUCCGGUUUUACUGUUGAGGGACGAUGUUGUAAUUCGAUGACAAGUUGGGGGACCUUCGGUGUGUACUUUUUCCUUCCUUGGUCUGGCAGGGGCGCGAGUUGGGCCGUUCUGCCACUCCGGCCCAGUCCCAUUCCCGUUUGGAUCCGGUAAGAUACUGAUACUGUGAUACAUGGGAACGGGAUAUGUAUUUAUGUAUUUUCAGUGCAAAUAAAUAUGAUCCAUCUAUUUACAAAUGGACGCUGCAUUAGGAUAUACAGUCAAAUCUUAAAAGUAUUAAUCACUAAUAUGUGUAAAAAACAGUAUGGUCUGAUAUCUGAAAAUGAUAUUAGCUUAUCUAAUGAUUUUUUUUUCCAGGAAACAUUAGGGGAAUCCCUACGAUAUAACUAUAUCAAAAGAUGGUUUAUACGUGCAUGGGGAAAGAAAAACAAAGUCCUCUCAGGGCGGUAAAUAUGUUGCUAACAAUUUAUCCAUGAGGAAAUGUAGAAUUAAUUCUUCUUUGAAAUAAGAUUUCCAACCCUGAAUAAUGAAGAAACUUGCUAAACCAUUAAGCCAUUUCUCUGCUUUCCAUAUUCCCCAAGCAGCAGGUCUUUCGGCUAGCUCCACAAGGUGGUGGGCUAGACGACCUGCGUUCAAAGCCCCACCCCUUCUAAUUAUUUGAUAUUAGGUCCUUCCCUAAUAUUCGAGAAAAAGCAACAAAAAUUUCCAUGAAGAACUUGUUUCCUCCUAUGGUAUAAAUAACCAUCUUUGUAGUUGAAUUAAUCGGUGAAGCUCAACGUUGUAAGACCAGUUAAAACAAAAUGAAAGAUCAGCAGCACUAAAUGGAUAGUUGAUGAAGAAAUCUUCUAUGGUUUCCCUCGGUGCUAUAUUACAAAGAGAGCAUCUCAAAUCUAUACUUAAGUAAAUAUACUCGUAACCGUGCUUGACACUAAACCCCAAUGUCUUAGCGCGAAGGUUGACAGUCCUUAAGCUUGGUGCCAUACUUGUGAGUACUCCCUCCGUUUCACAAUGUAAGUCAUUCUAGCAUUUCCCACAUUCAUAUUGAUGCUAAUAAAUUUAGGACAUAUAUAUCUAUCUAGAUUCAUUAACAUCACUAUAAAUAUGGGAAAUGCUAGAAUGACUUACAUUGUGAAACGGAGAAAGUAUAAGCUAACUCAACAAUCUUAGCAUUGAGCCCCUAAGGUACCAACUAAUACUCUUUAAUAACACCCGAUACCCAUCAGUGCUAGACCUGGUACCCAUCAAUAUCAGCCAAUACCAAGCAGGUAUUGGAUCUUCAUUAGCAAAGCAAAUCUUUAGUCAAUUCAACCAAACCACUCACCGAACACCAAACCCUCGCUGCCGCCACUGCUGAGGAGGAUCUUGACACUAGCACCAUCACAGCGCCAGGGAAAUAAGGGAGGACAGCUACUCCACGGUUCUACUCUUGGCCCUGGUGGUCUUCGGGCACCGCCUAGACCCACACCACCAUGGACUGAAUCGGUGGCGUUAGGAAGCAUAAGAUCCACUCCUCAAUCAAGAUGGUGGUGGUGGUGGUCGUGAUGGAGAAUUGCAGUUUUGACAACAUCCUAGGAUGCCUCAACCAUAGAUGCCCUGACAUUGACGGCCUCAACGACACCUAAUCCAACCACCUCAACACUUCUAACCCUUCCUCCCCGAAGAUCUUCGUCACGACGAGGCUAACUAUGACGACUUUAACCCUGGCCACAACUUCUAGGAUAUCCACGACUAGAUCUUUAGUUUUGUCGACACCUCUGUCAUGCCAGUCCUUAUAUUUGACUUUGCCCAGAAUGCCCGCGUGAUAGUCCACUGCAUGUUGCAGAACAUCAUGACUAACUUCAAGCCCGAGUUCAUGCCAGUAUGCGACGCCUUGUCAUUGAGUUACCCAUGUUCGACUAGUGGUUUGUCUCCCAAGAGCACACGACAUUGAUGAGCAUGGGGGUGUGCUUGACUGGAAAGCGCGCGAGCUAGGCACCUUAUGAGGUGGAAGAGGUAGGGGAUUGGACGGGAUCCUGUCCUUGCCAUCUCGGAUGGGAUCCCGAUAAUUGGCAUUUCCCUAUAUUUUAUGGCAUGUUUAGCACAAUUCUACCUCCAACUCCACCUCUUCUAGAGUUGAUAUUCAGCCAAACAGUUUCAGCUCAACUUAAAAUAGGAGUAGAGUUAGGUGGAACACUCUUACAAUAAUGAACUAGAGAUAUAAAGCUGAGUUUAUACUGCUUCAUAACUCUACUCCAGAUCUGAUUCAUGGAGUUAAAUUUAUAAGUUAGAGCUCGAUCAAACGGGUCCUUAGGGCCUGUUUGGCAUAGCUCCAGCUCUAGCUCCACCUAUCCUAGAGCUGGAGCUCAGCUAAACAACCUAAAAUGGGAGCAGAGCUAGGUGGAGUUGGGUUUAGACAGCUCUACAACUCCACUCUAGACCCAACUCCUGAAGCUAAAUUUAGGAGUUAGAGCUCUACUAAACUAACCCUUAGUGUCAAAAUUGACCUAAUACAUGUUUACAAGAGAGGACGGCCCAAUCCUAGAUCUAUAGAUGGUCAUAAGGCCCGAGGCCUGACGGCACGGCCCAUGGUGCGACCAUUUGGCUCGGCCCAAGCAUGGCACGACACGAUUGGUGUCGGGCCAGUGCCAGCUCGGGCCAACAGUUGGGCCGUGCCUAGGCCGAUGUCUUGGCAUAGUGGCCGGCCGGCACGGCUUGGAAGAUAAAUAGUUGAAGGGUCCAAAUUAGACUUAAGUAGUCAUAUAAAGGCAUGACCCAAGGAAAAGAGGGAUAUAAUAUAGACUUAUUCCAGCCAUAUAAAACACAACCCAAAGAGAUGAGGAUGCAAAAAUAGACUAUCGUGCUUUCGGGCUAACCCAGCAUGACCCGAGUCUUUUCGGCCGUGCCGGCCCGACUAAACUCGACCUAGGCCCAGUUAUACCUGGGCCGUGCCGGGCGGCCUAUUUGGCUAUCCGAUAUGGAUUGAUUUAUAAAAUUAGUAUCAUCAAAGGCGUAAAACGUAAAAAAACCGGUUAGUUUUUUUUCCUCAUCCCUGCCGCCGUCUCCUCGCCUCCGCCGAGAACUCGCGGCUGCCCUUGCCAGCUCACUUCCUCCACCGGCGGCUCCCCCCUCGCGGCGCCCAUCGCCCCCAUCGCCGCCGCACGGCCACGCCUCGCGUCGUCAUAGUCGUCUUCCUCGAUCAAUCCGCUCCGCUCCGUCUUCCUUCGAUCCAUAGGAUUCGGUAGGGUUCUCUUCUCUUCCCCCCUUACAAUUUUUCUAGGGUUUCUACGAAUCCAUCUGCUCGAUUUCAUUAGUUCGUGUUGUUUUACUCCCCCCCCCCCUCGCAGAUAGCAAUUGGCGAAGAUGCUGGGCGGAUUGUACGGCGACCUCCCGCCGCCGUCGUCCUCCGCCGACGAUGACAAGCCCUCCGCCGCCGGC
rnacentral:lncRNA from 1 species